UGCGCAGGCGGAGGAUUAAGUCAGUGGUGAAAUCUCACAGCUCAACUGUGAAACUGCUAUUGAAACUGAUUUUCUUGAAUACGGUUGAGGUAGGCGGAAUACGUUAUGUAGCGGUGAAAUGCUUAGAUAUAACGUAGAACACCGAUUGCGAAGGCAGCUUACUAAGCCGUUAUUGACGCUGAGGCACGAAAGCGUGGGGAGCGAACAGGAUUAGAUACCCUGGUAGUCC
rnacentral:rRNA from 1 species